rnacentral:lncRNA from 1 species
CACUUUCUACGCCAUAACUCAUAUUUUAACUAACCAAAAAUAAUGAAUAAUAGUAUAAAUUCUAUCCCACCUCAAAUAAUCCCACAAAAAUAGACACAACACACCGAUAAAUUAUAUAAGUAUAUAUUGACUCAAUAAAAUAAAAUAAAAUAAAAAAUUUGGGUGUUACAAUUAUCCCCCACUUACUGAAUUUUCUCCCUAAAAAUUACCUAAAUGAAACAACUCCAGAUACGACUCUCCAGCUCCCAUGUCAGACUUCCUCCAACAUGUCCUCCCCACACCACCUUCACCA